UGAGUUUAUUUCUCCGGGCAGGCCUACAUAUUGGCCAACAGAUCCAAAAAUGCAACCCGACUUGAUUGAUUUUGCUGUUAUAAGAAGAGUACCGCAGGCGCAGAUUCGAGUAGAGAUCUAUCAUCGUAUCCCUUGCCAAUCCUUCUUUACCUUUACGACCAUCCACAGUGCUCAAAACGCCCACACUUUCUAUCUUCUAGCAAAACAUAUAAAUAGGCUCAAGUAAAUUAAAUAUGUAAGUUUCCAUAUUGACGGCUGCCCAAAUAUCUACUGUAAAGAUGACAGAAAGCUCAGCUGAAGCAUUAAUGUAAUGUAAUUAAUGGCUGUAAAACACUCCAGGGUAAUUAAAUUCACAACAGCAGUCGUGUUCCCUGGCAUAUUGAAGAGCUGCUACGCGAUAAGAGAAGACUUCGGCGGGAAUGGGAAGCCCAUAGAUCACCUGCCUCGAAGGUGCGAUUAAAAAUAGCCAGCCAUUUACUGCGCAAAGUCCUAAAUGAGAGAAACCUCAAACAUACAAUAUAAAAAAACUCUCUCCAAACAAGAAAAGAUUCCCACUGUGGAAAGCUAAAGCAGGCCAUGAUGAAACAAGGCUACUAUCCUCAACAAUGGAAGAAAUCUGUCAUCACAAUGAUCCUUAAAGCCGGAAAGGACAAGUCCCAUCAUCAUAUAAACCUAUCAGUCUUCUGUCGUGUCUAUCAAAGAUAUUUGAAAAGCUACACACCCAUAGUGCAAUCACAAUGCAGCAAUAUGGAUUUCGAAAAAAAAAAAUUUCGAAUCAUUCAACUAGUAAACCGGAUUACCAGAAAUAAGAAAUGCAUUUAAAAGACGCGAGUAUAGCAACGCUGUCUCCCUGGAUGUCACCUAAACUUCAACCGAGUUUAUUAUUUAGGGCCGUACUCUAAAUUAUUAAUUGUAAUAAAUAAUUAAAUAUAUUAGAUAAGGAUUUAUCUACUUGUCUUCAGUCUCCAAGAAAGAACAUUCAAUAAAUAAAUUACCGUAAAAAUAAAAAAAAGCUAACGAGAGGUUACGUUGAGUUGCUGCAACAUUUGUACCCGGUCAGUUUUUUUCAGACUAGUUUCUCACUAUUUAAGUCAUAUUUUUACUGCACGCCGGAUAUAAAUUCCGAGUGUCCGACCGAUUGCAGAACUACACACAUGUACAUAUGUAUGUACAUACAUAUAUCAUAAAGUAAACGAAGGUAAAUAAUACGAAAUUCGCUCAAGUUCUACUUUCUGGUGAUUAUUCUCAAAGGCAUAGUUACACGUGCGUUUAAUUCAUUGUUAUAUCAUUGAUAUUGAAAAUGAUUCCCUUCAGUUUUAAAAUUUAUGAAAAUGAUGUGCGAGCUUUGUAUAUUUAAAGCAAACCAGUUUCAUGUUCUUAAAGAUCGAAAACUAAUGACACUGUUAGGAGCUUCAUUAAUAAAAUUAGUUUUAAGCUUCUAGUGGGGGCUAGUGCCACCGUAGGAAUAUUUGCUGUUUUUUUUUCAAUCGUUGUACAUGUUUUGUUUGCUAUUUUUAAAAAUCGAUUUUAUUUAAAGAAGUAUUUGAAUCCAGACAAAUCGAAUUUAUGCACUGCUCGUGAUGAUUCGGAUA